GAUGAACGCUGGCGGCGUGCCUAAUACAUGCAAGUCGAGCGAACGGACGAGAAGCUUGCUUCUCUGAUGUUAGCGGCGGACGGGUGAGUAACACGUGGAUAACCUACCUAUAAGACUGGGAUAACUUCGGGAAACCGGAGCUAAUACCGGAUAAUAUUUUGAACCGCAUGGUUCAAAAGUGAAAGACGGUCUUGCUGUCACUUAUAGAUGGAUCCGCGCUGCAUUAGCUAGUUGGUAAGGUAACGGCUUACCAAGGCAACGAUGCAUAGCCGACCUGAGAGGGUGAUCGGCCACACUGGAACUGAGACACGGUCCAGACUCCUACGGGAGGCAGCAGUAGGGAAUCUUCCGCAAUGGGCGAAAGCCUGACGGAGCAACGCCGCGUGAGUGAUGAAGGUCUUCGGAUCGUAAAACUCUGUUAUUAGGGAAGUACAUAUGUGUAAGUAACUGUGCACAUCUUGACGGUACCUAAUCAGAAAGCCACGGCUAACUACGU
rnacentral:rRNA from 1 species